GUCAAGUCAGCGGAUGGCACGGGGGAGAAAAGAAACUCGAGGUGAAUACUGUACGUCUCCAUCGGAGAGACGCAGUCUGCAUUGAGGAAGUCUUGGGCUUGUCUCUCCAGCCGGCUGAUCCGAGACUGCUCCGACAGCACCUGGCUGCCUCCACCCUUCUCUACGCUGUGCUCCUACACAGACAAACACAACGAGACAAAUGACCCCCUGUGGCGUUUAUAACACCCUCUAUGGCGAUGUCACACGUCAAGCCCACGUCUGGAGUCAAACAGCGGACGAUGCAGUUACCCCCCACGCCCAACGGUGCAUCACAUGAAAGCUUUGUCUACAGCAGGAGACACAGAAACAGCAGGAGAACCACAGUAAUACCUAACAUGCACUAUUGGCUCAGGAACCCUCUGAACCCAGGACCUCAACGCUGUGAGGCGAACGCCAGAACACCCACCGGUUUCUGACAGUUAUGGCAUUAAAGUCAUGUAAUUCU